AAUCAACGCUGGCGGCGUGCCUAACACAUGCAAGUCGAACGCGAAAGCGUCUUCGGACGUGAGUAGAGUGGCGUCCGGGUGAGUAACACGUAGGUAAUCUACCUUCGGGUGGGGAAUAACGCCUCGAAAGAGGCGCUAAUACCGCAUAACGCAGCGGCAGCUAAUGCUGAUUAGUUGUUAAAGCGGGGGACCGAGAGAUCGGCCUCGCGCCUGAAGAGGAGCCUGCCGGCAGAUUAGCUAGUUGGCGGGGUAACGGCCACCAAGGCGACGAUCUGUAGCUGGUCUGAGAGGACGGCCAGCCACACUGGCACUGACACACGGGCCA
rnacentral:rRNA from 1 species